rnacentral:rRNA from 1 species
GACGAACGCUGGCGGCGUGCCUAAUACAUGCAAGUCGAGCGGACGAAUCGAAAGCUUGCUUUUGAUUCGUUAGCGGCGGACGGGUGAGUAACACGUGUGCAACCUGCCCUGUAGACGGGGAUAACACCGAGAAAUCGGUGCUAAUCCCGGAUAACACGAAAUGUCGCAUGACGUUUCGUUGAAAGACGGCGCAAGCUGUCGCUACCGGAUGGGCUCGCGGCGCAUUAGCUAGUUGGUGGGGUAACGGCUCACCAAGGCGACGAUGCGUAGCCGACCUGAGAGGGUGAUCGGCCACACUGGGACUGAGACACGGCCCAGGCUCCUACGGGAGGCAGCAGUAGGGAAUCGGCCGCAAUGGACGAAAGUCUGACGGAGCAACGCCGCGUGAGCGAAGAAGGCCUUCGGGUCGUAAAGCUCUGUUGUUAGGGAAGAACAAGUAACGCAGUAACUGGCGUUACCGUGACGGUACCUAACGAGAAAGCCACGGCUAACUACGUG